rnacentral:rRNA from 1 species
UACGUAGGGUGCGAGCGUGUCCGGAAUUAUUGGGCGUAAAGAGCUUGUAGGCGGUUUGUCGCGUCUGCCGUGAAAUUUCGAGGCUCAACCUCGAACUUGCGGUGGGUACGGGCAGACUAGAGUGUGGUAGGGGAGACUGGAAUUCCUGGUGUAGCGGUGAAAUGCGCAGAUAUCAGGAGGAACACCGAUGCGAAGGCAGGUCUCUGGGCCACUACUGACGCUGAGAAGCGAAAGCAUGGGGAGCGAACAGG